rnacentral:rRNA from 1 species
UGAGGGAAAGCUGCAAAGUACUCUGAAGAGAGAGUUCAAAAGGACGUGAAGCCGUCUGCAGGGAAACGGGUGAGACCGCACGGUAGACCCGCGGCGGAUUCAGCUCGCAGGGUCGGGUGCGUCCGGGGUUCUGGGGCCUGACUUGUCAGGUCCCUGGCCUCGGUCUCGCGCCUGCCUUCCGGGUGCACUUCCGCGCCACGGGUCGCGCAGGGCCCGACUCUGUGGCCGUCUGAAGCCCGGCGAGGAGGUGACGGGGCCUUCGGGCUCCGAGUUUAACUCGUCGGUGCGGAGACCGGCUGCGGGGUCGAGGAACGUCUGUCCGUCUCUGACGCGUGGGGCCGGGUCGGCUCGUCGGUUCGACUGGGUUGGAGCCAUGAAAUUCGUGGCUGCUCCCGACCGCCGGUGGGUUCCUCCUUGUCCUUUCGCCGGACGACCGGGACGCCUGUGCUCAGGUCGGCACCUCACCCGACCC